rnacentral:rRNA from 1 species
AACGAACGCUGGCGGCACGCCUCAUACAUGCAAGUCGAGCGCGAAACCACCUUCGGGUGAUGUAGAGCGGCGAACGGGUGAGUAACAGGUGGAUAAUCUGCCCUUUGGCGGGGGACAACAGCUGGAAACGGCUGCUAAUACCGCAUGUGGUUGUAUGCUCAUGGUGUACAAAGAAAGACGCCUCAAAGCGUCACCAAAGGAUGAGUCCGCCCCCCAUUAGCUAGUUGGUGAGAUAACAGCUCACCAAGGCAUCGAUGGGUAGCCGAGCUGAGAGGUUGAUCGGCCACACUGGAACUGAGACACGGUCCAGACACCUACGGGUGGCAGCAGUAGGGAAUAUUAGCGCAAUGGGCGAAAGCCUGACGCAGCGAUGCCGCGUGAGUGACG